rnacentral:rRNA from 1 species
GAUGAACGCUGGCGGCGUGCCUAAUACAUGCAAGUCGAGCGAACAGAUGAGGAGCUUGCUCCUCAGACGUUAGCGGCGGACGGGUGAGUAACACGUGGAUAACCUACCUAUAAGACUGGGAUAACUUCGGGAAACCGGAGCUAAUACCGGAUAAUAUAUUGAACCGCAUGGUUCAAUAGUGAAAGACGGUUUUGCUGUCACUUAUAGAUGGAUCCGCGCCGCAUUAGCUAGUUGGUAAGGUAACGGCUUACCAAGGCAACGAUGCGUAGCCGACCUGAGAGGGUGAUCGGCCACACUGGAACUGAGACACGGUCCAGACUCCUACGGGAGGCAGCAGUAGGGAAUCUUCCGCAAUGGGCGAAAGCCUGACGGAGCAACGCCGCGUGAGUGAUGAAGGUCUUCGGAUCGUAAAACUCUGUUAUUAGGGAAGAACAAAUGUGUAAGUAACUAUGCACGUCUUGACGGUACCUAAUCAGAAAGCCACGGCUAACUACGUG